GCCGAAGUGGCGGAACGGUAGACGCAGCGGAUUCAAAAUCCGCCGGGGUAGCCCCCCGUGAGGGUUCGAGUCCCUCCUUCGGUA
rfam:Myxococcales bacterium 68-20 scnpilot_expt_750_bf_scaffold_40, whole genome shotgun sequence.